rnacentral:rRNA from 1 species
AGUUGAUCAUGGCUCAGGAUGAACGCUAGCUACAGGCUUAACACAUGCAAGUCGAGGGGCAGCAUGAUCGAAGCUUGCUUUGAUUGAUGGCGACCGGCGCACGGGUGAGUAACGCGUAUCCAACCUUCCCUAUAGUAGAGAAUAGCCCGGCGAAAGUCGGAUUAAUGCUCUAUGUUGUAUUUAGAAGACAUCUGAAGAAUACCAAAGGUUUACCGCUAUAGGAUGGGGAUGCGUCUGAUUAGGUUGUUGGCGGGGUAACGGCCCACCAAGCCCACGAUCAGUAGGGGUUCUGAGAGGAAGGUCCCCCACAUUGGAACUGAGACACGGUCCAAACUCCUACGGGAGGCAGCAGUGAGGAAUAUUGGUCAAUGGACGAAAGUCUGAACCAGCCAAGUAAGCGUGCAGGAUGACGGCCCUAUGGGUUGUAAACUGCUUUUAUACAGGGAUAAAGUGAGGGACGUGUCCCUUUUUGUAGGUACUGUAUGAAUAAGGACCGGCUAAUUCCGUGCCAGCCGCCGC